CUGGCCUGUGGGCAUAUUUGUGGCAUACUUUCUUAAUUGCUAGUUUAAAUAGGAAGGCCAGGUCCACUGCUGGUGGUGCCAUCUCUGGGAUGCUGGGCCUGAGUUGUAGAAGAAAAGCAGUUGAACAAGCCAGAGGAAACAAGACAGUAACCCUGUUCCUUUAUGGUAUUGCUUCCAGGUUCGUGCUCGAGAUCCUGCACCGAUUUCCUUCAAUGAUGGACUGUGGCAUGGAAGCAUAAGCCAAGUAAAUCCCAACUUCCUGCCAAAUUUGUUCUCUCUUGAUGAGGCCCAUCUGAUGUCAGCAAGAGGGAAGUUUGAACUUCCCACUGGAGCAAAGGAAGAAAUAGGAGUUCCUGAAUUGGCUUCAAGCAAGACCUACCUCUCAAGCUCAUUUAAAAAUAAUUUAGUUUUGAGAUAACAAUUACAAAAUUUCUUCCUUUCUUUUUCUUCUCCCCAAACCUUCCCAUAUACACCUCCCCUUUUGUCCUUAUACUCACAGACAAGUGCAAUAUUCACCCCUCAUCAAGGAAACUUGUCUUUGCAACAGAUGGAGACCAUUACACAAAACCACAACCAAUUAUAAUGUAGAGUUGUCGAGUCCAGUCCCAAGGGAUACAGCUAGAAAACAGGUUCUCACCUAAAGUUUCAAAAACGUUAUGGAAGAGGGACAGAAAGAUCACACAAGUCGGAGGAUCAGAGAGUUUGCUGUGAGAUUGUAUCUCCUCAUUACAUCAGGAAAUACACCCAUACAUUCUCAUGAACAUGACUGCUCAAACAUGAGCUGAAGAAGGACAGCACCUAUGGACAUAACAAACUAGAUGUGGGAAAACCCGUGAGGCUUCAGCCUUACUUAAAGAACUACACAAGGCUGAGAAAAGCUGGGCGUGGGAAGGCUGAUCCUCACCAGGGAAGAGCACAACAGUUGGUUGUCAAACUCAGUUUUUCAAGAGACUCGGCAUUAUGGUGGUGGGAGGGGUGGUUGCUCCGAGCUAAUAGUAACAUCUUGUUUUCCAUUAGGCUACAAGUCCCUGAUAUCCUUUCUCUCAGAACCCUUCUGGGAAAAACAUUGAUUAGCAUGAUUCAGUGAUUCUUUUUGGAUUUGUCUUAAUACCAUCCAAUUUCCAUCAUGGCUCAUCACUCAUGGAGAUGGAGAUGAAAGCUUAUUUUAUAAUCACAGAGGAAAACAUGCACAAAUAUAUUCUGCAUAUGGGCAUUCAGAGAAGCAUGCGUUACCCUGGUCCUGAGGCGUGCAUGAAGGAUUAGAGUGAAAACAACAACUAUACAGAUUCAAGGGAGACUGCAGUGUAGCAUCUGGAUUAUUGCUCCAGUUCCAGACAUCACACGGACCCAUGGUAGAAAGGGAAGUUUACUCUCUGUCUAGACUUAAUAGGAAAGAAAUCUCUUAACUGAAUAUAUGUAGGACAAUCAUCCAAUAAGACUUGGUGUAGCUGUGAGCUUAUGAUCUACCUAUAUGUGGUAAAAUGGAGAGUUAAAUGCUCUUUUUAAUGUGUUGUAUUAAAUUUAGGAUUAGGACAAGCUUAGUGAAGGAGGAAGAGGAAAUUAAAGAGUAGUGAAAAUGAGCUCUGGGACACAAGAAACAGACUUAACUAGAAGUCCAGUUGACUGAUUUGCUGAAGGUCUGUGCAUUUUAAAAUCGAUUGGCAUUGUGUUUCAUAUUUUCUCUUCAUUGUCUUGAUUCCUUUUUAAAGACUGAAGCACUAAAUUCAAAGCAUUUGUUCGUUUGGGGGUGAAGGGCAACAUUCUCUCAUCUCUGUUGUCUGCGUUGAGUUUGGUACCAGGCAGAUUUGAGAGUUUAACAAGGAAGCCCCAAGAACCAUUGGAAAUCUGGAAGGAUACAUUGGGACUUUUCCAAGACUUGAGAUGGAGGCUUGGAAUGACUUGAUAUCAUUUUCAAAGGACAGAAGUCCUGAGAUGACACGUGGGCCACAUGCUAUAUGUUGCAUUAAAUAUUUCUAAAUGUC